rnacentral:tRNA from 1 species
UGCGAGAUGGCUGAGAUGCAGGCGAAAGAUUGUAGCUCUUUUAACGGAGGAAACCUUCUCUCGUAA